AAACUUUCAACAACGGAUCUCUUGGCUCUGGCAUCGAUGAAGAACGCAGCGAAAUGCGAUAAGUAAUGUGAAUUGCAGAAUUUAGUGAAUCAUCGAAUCUUUGAACGCACAUUGCGCCCCCCGGUACUCCGAGGGGCAUGCCUGUUCGAGCGUC
rnacentral:rRNA from 1 species